rnacentral:rRNA from 1 species
GAUGAACGCUGGCGGCGUGCCUAAUACAUGCAAGUCGAGCGAAUGGAUUAAGAGCUUGCUCUUAUGAAGUUAGCGGCGGACGGGUGAGUAACACGUGGGUAACCUGCCCAUAAGACUGGGAUAACUCCGGGAAAUCGGGGCUAAUACCGGCUAAUAUUUUGAACUGCAUGGUUCAAAAUUGAAAGGCGGCUUCGGCUGUCACUUAUGGAUGGACCCGCGUCGCAUUAGCCAGUUGGUGAGGUAACGGCUCACCAAGGCAACGAUGCGUAGCCGACCUGAGAGGGUGAUCGGCCACACUGGGACUGAGACACGGCCCAGACUCCUACGGGAGGCAGCAGUAGGGAAUCUUCCGCAAUGGACGAAAGUCUGACGGAGCAACGCCGCGUGAGUGAUGAAGGCUUUCGGGUCGUAAAACUCUGUUGUUAGGGAAGAACAAGUGCUAGUUGAAUAAGCUGGCACCUUGACGGUACCUAACCAGAAAGCCACGGCUAACUACGUGCCAGCCGCCGCAGUAA